GGCGCCGGCGAUAGCACGUUGAAUACACGUUUCCAAUAGAUAACUGAAGUUAAGCAACGUUGUGCGUGGUUAGAAUCCGGAUGGCAAUCGCGUGCUGCUGUUA
rnacentral:rRNA from 1 species